UAAAACUUUCUAAAAGAGAGGGAAAAAGGCUACUGAGACGCAAUUAGUAGUCUCUACCACAGGAAGCAUGAGUUAAAAGCAUUCCAAUGACCAUACACUUCAUCUGUUGUUUCCAUGGCUGCAGAUGGUCAAAACACCACAGAGUUCCGAGGAGUUCCCUGUGAAGAAAUUAUUCUUUAUUUUGCCAAAUGAUUCAUCUGUGGUGUUCAAGUGGAUUUAAAUAACCCAAACCUAACGAGGCAUACUUCAUCACAGCCUGCGGCUUCAUAUUCCCCUUCCAUCACUAGUCCAGUGGCAGCUACCUAAAACGGAAAGACAUCCAUGGAGCAUCAAGAGACAGAGUCACUCUGAAAGCAAAUGACAGGGUCUUCCCGGAGCUACAUUUUGCAGCAGUAUUAUACUCUGAGCCCACAGACAAUAAAAACCAUUUGUGUCUCAGCUCUGCAGCAGCUUGGUGCAAUCCUUCUUAACAGAACUUGUGUGUGUCCGGUGGUAACGGAGCUAAGGAAAAGCCCAGGUCUCAGUGCUCCUCAUUAAUCCAGUCUACAGUAUAAUCUGUUUCUUAUAGGUUUCUUUCUGUGCCUGUGUAUUUUAACAUUGCAUCCAUAAUUAAAUUUUCUUUCUAAACUAGGGAUGUAUUUUCUUAUUACUGCUAUCAAUUUUUUAAAAAUAAAUCUCUUUUAAGUUUAUUGUUUCAAAAUGCAAGAAGUCCCCCAGGACCCACCUCCUGGGAAGAAGAUGAUCUCAUCUGUCAGUGGAAAAUGCCUGUCUAGAUGGUAAAAGCUUUACUUGGUCCUUAUUUUAUACCUUGUUGGUCUGAAACAUGUAAGUUUGGGAUGGUCAUUCAUGGUUUUAAUAUAUUGCUGGAGAAGCUGGUGUCUGGCUAGCUCAUUCUUCUUGCUGAGCUUUUAAAUAUAAUAUUUUAAAGAAUUUCGGUAAGUCAGGUGUCGGUAAGUAGGUGGGACUGUUGAGUUCUAAGUUUCAAAAUCCAUUUACUUAAUCAGUCAAAAAGUUGUUGAACACUUGCUCAAUAAAUUACUUCUUCAAUGGGAAAGACCAUAUCUUAUUUACCUUUUACCUCUACCACCUAGCCCAAUGCCUAUAUUGGAGUGCAAAACAUGUGUUUUCACAGUUGCUAGUCAAAGUUCUGUGCUAAUGCAUCCUGGAAAAUAUAAGAAAGUCCUCACACUUCAUGACCUCAUAGUCUAGUGGAUUAGAUAAAAUAAAUGUGCAGUUAACUAUACUCGGUGGCAGUGAAGAAAACAUUAUUCGCUGAGUAGUGUGAUGGAAAAGGAUAUUCGAUGGGUCACACAAAUAAUGCAGGAAUUUGGAGUCCCUGGGUUUUACCAAACCUCCACUAACGAGCAGUGCAGCUGUGAGAGAACUGUUCAACUUUUCCAGGUUUCUGGAACUCCUACUGUUAAAUGAAGGAGUUGACAAAACAAUUAGAAAUUUUUGAAAUUAUAGCACUUGAACACAUUUUUAUAAAUUCCAAACAAUGCAGGUAGAGCAAAAAUUCCUGACAGCUUUAUCUGUAUUCUAUAAGUUUUGAGUAUGUUUGUUUUCAUUUUUAUUUUUAUUUUUUUCUUCCAGGAUUCAAAUCUAGGGAGGGUAUUUUCAAUUGUUCCAGCUUUGGAUAGGGAAGGAUAGGCACCAUGAUUGACUCUUGCCAGACGCAAAUCCAAUGAGAUAAAUCAUUUUUAUUUAUC